rnacentral:rRNA from 1 species
ACCCGGGGGUGAUCGGGGCUCGGUCGAUCUCCCACCCUUUGUGUACCUACCUCUGUUGCUUUGGCGGGCCGCGGUCCUCCGCGGCCGCCCCCCUCCCCGGGGGGGUGGCCAGCGCCCGCCAGAGGACCAUCAAACUCCAGUCAGUAAACGAUGCAGUCUGAAAAACAUUUAAUAAACUAAAACUUUCAACAACGGAUCUCUUGGUUCUGGCAUCGAUGAAGAACGCAGCGAAAUGCGAUAAGUAAUGUGAAUUGCAGAAUUCAGUGAAUCAUCGAAUCUUUGAACGCACAUUGCGCCCUUUGGUAUUCCGAAGGGCAUGCCUGUUCGAGCGUCAUUACAACCCUCAAGCUCUGCUUGGUAUUGGGCACCGUCCUUUGCGGGCGCGCCUCAAAGACCUCGGCGGUGGCGUCUUGCCUCAAGCGUAGUAGAACAUACAUCUCGCUUCGGAGCGCAGGGCGUCGCCCGCCGGACGAACCUUCUGAACUUUUCUCAAGGUUGACCUCGGAUCAGGUAGGGAUACCCGCUGAACUUAAGCAUAUCAAUAAGCGGAGGAA